rnacentral:rRNA from 1 species
UACGUAGGGUGCGAGCGUUAAUCGGAAUUACUGGGCGUAAAGGGUGCGCAGGCGGUUAUAUAAGACAGAUGUGAAAUCCCCGGGCUCAACCUGGGAACUGCGUUUGUGACUGUAUGACUAGAGUACGGUAGAGAGGGGUGGAAUUCCUGGUGUAGCAGUGAAAUGCGUAGAUAUCAGGAGGAACAUCGAUGGCGAAGGCAGCCCCUUGGACCUGUACUGACGCUCAUGCACGAAAACGUGGGGAGCAAACAGG